GACGAACGCUGGCGGCGUGCUUAACACAUGCAAGUCGAGCGGUAAGGCCCUUUCGGGGGUACACGAGCGGCGAACGGGUGAGUAACACGUGAGCAACCUGCCCUUCUCUUCGGAAUAAGCGUUGGAAACGACGUCUAAUGCCGAAUAUGACCCCCUGACGCAUGGUGGGGGGUGGAAAGCUCUGGCGGAGAAGGAUGGGCUCGCGGCCUAUCAGCUUGUUGGUGUGGGUAAUGGCCCACCAAGGCGACGACGGGUAGCCGGCCUGAGAGGGUGACCGGCCACACUGGGACUGAGACACGGCCCAGACUCCUACGGGAGGCAGCAGUGGGGAAUAUUGGACAAUGGGCGAAAGCCUGAUCCAGCAACGCCGCGUGAGGGAUGACGGCCUUCGGGUUGUAAACCUCUUUCAGCAGGGACGAAGCGAGAGUGACGGUACCUGCAGAAGAAGGACCGGCCAACUACGUGCCAGCCGCCGCCGUAACAC
rnacentral:rRNA from 1 species